rnacentral:misc_RNA from 1 species
CCUAGAGUUGUAGGGCUUUGCCUGCUAUCUCUUACCCAUGUCUUUUGAGUACCUUCGUUUCCUCGGCGGGUCCGCCCGCCGAUUAGGACACUUUAAAACCAUUUGCAGUUGCAAUCAGCGUCUGAAAAACUUAAUAGUUA